ACCGCUGUACCCGGUGUAAGAGUAGAUUGUUCACUUGGAAGGUCAAACGUUUCAAACAUUUUCAAUAUGUCAAAAGUCCUAAGAUACCUACCAGGACCCGGUGGGCGUUUCGUGAAAUUAGCUAGUAAAAUCAUUGGUCCAGAAGCGAGAAGUCAUAUAUACGCUACCAAGCAUCUGGCAACAAAGAUGGCAAAACCAGGUGCAACGUUUUUAGUGGCAGGAAGCACAUAUAUCUUAUAUCUCUCAGAGUGGGAUGAGGUCUGCCAAUAUAUCCCCUUCUAUGGCAAUAAAUACUCUGACAACGAGCCUCUUGAAUAAUAACCUGGAGCAGGGAAUUCUAUUUUAUUAUAAUGACAGGUUCAGUCAUCUCAAAGACCUGAAUGCUGAAAUGAGCUCCUAAAUUUUAAAAUUAUAUUGGAACAUUUGUGACUUCAAAAAUGUGUUUACUGAUAGUUCAUGUUUUGUAAAUAAAAUAUCUAAAUGUCA